rnacentral:tRNA from 1 species
CCCCGGGCACAGUAGGUAGAGCAACUGACUUGUAAUCAGUAGCUCGCGGGUUCGAGUCCUGUUCGGGGA